rnacentral:ncRNA from 1 species
CAACGCGAAGAACCUUACCAAGGCUUGACAUACACCGGAAAACCCUGGAGACAGGGUCCCCCUUGUGGUCGGUGUACAGGUGGCGCAUGGCUGUCGUCAGCUCGUGUCGUGAGAUGUUGGGUUAAGUCCCGCAACGAGCGCAACCCUUGUCCCGUGUUGCCAGCAGGCCCUUGUGGUGCUGGGGACUCACGGGAGACCGCCGGGGUCAACUCGGAGGAAGGUGGGACGACGUCAAGUCAUCAUGCCCCUUAUGUCUUGGGCUGCACACGUGCUACAAUGGCCGGUACAACUGAGCUGCGAUACGCGAGGUGGAGCGAAUCUACAAAAAGCCGGUCUCAGUUCGGA